rnacentral:rRNA from 1 species
GAUGAACGCUGGCGGCGUGCUUAACACAUGCAAGUCGAACGGUGAACACGGUGCUUGCUCUGUGGGAUCAGCGGCGAACGGGUGAGUAACACGUGAGCAACCUGCCCCUGACUCUGGGAUAAGCGCUGGAAACGGCGUCUAAUACUGGAUACGAACCGCGACCGCAUGGUCAGUGGUUGGAAAGAAUUUCGGUUGGGGAUGGGCUCGCGGCCUAUCAGCUUGUUGGUGAGGUAAUGGCUCACCAAGGCGUCGACGGGUAGCCGGCCUGAGAGGGUGACCGGCCGCAAUGGGACUGAGACACGGCCCAGACUCCUACGGGAGGCAGCAGUGGGGAAUAUUGCACAAUGGGCGCAAGCCUGAUGCAGCAACGCCGCGUGAGGGAUGACGGCCUUCGGGUUGUAAACCUCUUUUAGCAGGGAAGAAGCGAAAGUGACGGUACCUGCAGAAAAAGCGCCGGCUAACUACGUGCCAGCCGCCGCGGUAAAAC